rnacentral:antisense_RNA from 1 species
GGUGCACACGUAGUACAUCACGCUCUGGCCCGCCAUGAAGUGCUGCUCCGCCGUCUCCAGGAAGCGCUCCAGCUUGAGAGAGGCUGUGCAACUCACCCACAGCAGCCGCGAUCUGGGCCUCCUCCUAUGUGCCCCUGUUCAGACCCCUGCUCCAUGAACUGGGCAGACCCAUGUCCACUAAAGUGCUGAGGAAGUGACAGCGUGUGAUUUCUGAGGCUAGAUCAUAAAGGGCACAGCAGUUCUCACCUCACUCUUCUGCCUGGGUUACUGCAGAGUAAGCCAGCUACCAGUAAGCCACCCCAGCAACCCUUUGGAGAGGCAUGCGUGGAGAACAGCCAAGGCCCUGGUGGUCCCCGGCCUCCUUGCCGUGUGAGUGAACCGUGCUGGAAGUGGGUUUUCUGGCUCCAGACCUCAGACACUGCAGCCUGUAUGGCGUCUUCCCUGAGACCUCAUAUGACCUCAAACUCAUACACUGGGUUUGUGGAAGGGAGCAGAUAACCUCUCUGUUUCCAGUUCUUAGAGGAACUGGACACCAGGAGCCUCAUACCAGGACUGCCCAGCCGAGCCACUCGAUUCCUGACCCACAUGGCCCUUGAGAUGACAAGUGAUUGAUUGCUGCUUAAAGUCACUGAGUUCUGGAAUAAUUUACAUCAUGGCAAUAGGUAACUAAUGCAGAUUCUGGUACCUGGAAAAGGAGUGCUGACAUCAAACAGCUCUAUAGAUGUGGGCGUGGCCUCAGAACUGGCCACAGGCAGGAGCCAGAAGGACUCUGUGGAAAGCGUGAGUGUC